UGGAGGGCAACGGGUGGAUACCUCCUUACCUAAAGAUACGCAUAUGUGCAGUGUCCACACAGAUUGUCUGAUGAAAUUAAUGAGCAAGAGCACCUGUUGAUGCGGUAAGGGUAACCUUACGCUGAUGCGAAAAGUGCCAGGGCACGAAAGUGGACUGGUACGGAAUUUUCGUGUCCCCAUCGUCUAGAGGCCUAGGACACUGCCCUUUCACGGCUGUAACAGGGGUUCGAAUCCCCUUGGGGACGCCAUUCCGAUAAUGAGUGAAAGACAUUAUCACCGGUUCUGACGAACCAAAAUACCUUAAAGAUGACUCUCACGAGUCGGGUUUAAAAUAUUGCUCUUUAACAAUCUGGAACAAGCUGAAAAUUGAAACGACCCAGCUGAAACUUAUCUCUCCGUAGAUGUACUGAGAUAAGGAGUACCCUGUGUUGAGUCUCUCAAGACUCGCAAACCGAAGGGAAACACCUUCGGGUUGUGAGGUUAAGCGACUAAGCGUACACGGGGGAUGCCUUGGCACCU
rnacentral:misc_RNA from 1 species